rnacentral:rRNA from 1 species
UACGUAGGGUGCGAGCGUUGUCCGGAUUUAUUGGGCGUAAAGAGCGUGUAGGCGGCCCGACAGGUCCGUUGUGAAAACUCGAGGCUCAACCUCGAGACGUCGAUGGAAACCGUCGGGCUAGAGUCCGGAAGAGGAGAGUGGAAUUCCUGGUGUAGCGGUGAAAUGCGCAGAUAUCAGGAGGAACACCCGUGGCGAAAGCGGCUCUCUGGGACGGUACUGACGCUGAGACGCGAAAGCGUGGGGAGCGAACAGG